GAUGAACGCUAGCGGGAGGCUUAAUACAUGCAAGUCGAGGGGUAACAGAGGACUUCGGUUCUGCUGACGACCGGCGAACGGGUGAGUUACGCGUACGCAAUUUGCCUUCAAGUGGAGGAUAGCCCUGGGAAACUGGGAUUAAUACUCCAUAGUAUCAUAGAGUCGCAUGGCUUUAUGAUUAAAGAUCAGUCGCUUGAAGAUAAGCGUGCGUGCUAUUAGCUAGUUGGUAAGGUAAUGGCUUACCAAGGCUACGAUAGCUAGGGGGCGUGAGAGCGUGGCCCCCCACACGGGUACUGAGACACGGACCCGACUCCUACGGGAGGCAGCAGUAAGGAAUAUUGGACAAUGGGCGCAAGCCUGAUCCAGCUAUCCCGCGUGCAGGAUGACGGCCCUAUGGGUUGUAAACUGCUUUUGUACAGGAAGAAACGCCUUCAUUUAUGAGGGCCUGACGGUACUGUAAGAAUAAGCACCGGCUAACUCCG
rnacentral:rRNA from 1 species